rnacentral:rRNA from 1 species
UAACGCGUGGGUAACCGGCCUCAUACAGGGGGAGUAACAGUUAGAAAGUGACUGCUAAUACGCAUAAGCCCACGGCUCGGCAUCGAGCAGGGGAAAGGAGCAAUCCGCUUUGAGAUGGCCUCGCGUCCGAUUAGCUAGUUGGUGAGGUAAUGGCCCACCAAGGCAACGAUCGGUAGCCGGACUGAGAGGUUGAACGGCCACAUUGGGACUGAGACACGGCCCAG